CAAACAGGUAACAGAAGUAUCUCAAAGCAGCGCGGCCGCUUCGAAAAGAAAGUCGGAUCAACGUAGCUGGUCGUUCCCUAUGGAUGGCAGCUUCCAAAGCAUUGAUACUAUGGGCCCUCGCUGUCACUUCAGUGGCCACUCAUAACCCCUUCGCUCCUGUCAAGCUGGAUCUUUCUAAAUAUCAAAAUCCUUGGCCGGUUAUAAAUAGUACAAACGAUGUUUUACUGGCACGGGUAUCCGGCCCAGGUACAACAUAUCCAUGUGUACGAUCUCGGUAUUGGGGAUAUGAAACCAUGAAUAACACAGUUGAGCGUUCCGUUCGAUAUAUUAUACACCAACCAGAGGUCCACCAAUAUUUCUUUAAGAGUCAGAUAUGAAAAUCAUACAGAAAGAAAUCUUACCAUACUUGAAGUUUCAUUCAAUGAAGCCAUCUUAGUCGAAAGGGAAUUUGGUGGGCCCUACUGCCUCGAUAGAUUUACUUUCCAUGUGCUUUACGCCGAGGCUCAAUGUCUACUCCUGGGCAAUAAAGCAAGCGGUAGAGGGUUCACCAAUUGCUCGUUGUGGUUUCCGGAAAAACAACGUGGUUAUCAGAGACCACCACCAUGCUGCGAGUUCCUAUUUUUUGUUUUAUGUGGGCAAGGCAGUAAGGUUAACUCGACAAAGUGCAACGAUUAAUCAUUCUUGAAAUCUAGUAGAUGAUCUAUUGACGUUUUACAGCACAAGCAACAAAAUUUUAGUUGCAAUAACAUUGCCCGUCACUGAUGAGUUACUGACCAGUAUUCAAAGUGUCA